rnacentral:rRNA from 1 species
UACGUAGGGGGCUAGCGUUGUCCGGAAUCAUUGGGCGUAAAGCGCGUGUAGGCGGUCCGGUAAGUCCGCUGUGAAAGUCGGGGGCUCAACCCUCGAAAGCCGGUGGAAACUGUCGGGCUAGAGUACGGAAGAGGCGAGUGGAAUUCCUGGUGUAGCGGUGAAAUGCGCAGAUAUCAGGAGGAACACCGAUUGCGAAGGCAGCUCGCUGGAACGUUACUGACGCUGAGACGCGAAAGCGUGGGGAGCAAACAGG